rnacentral:rRNA from 1 species
GACGAACGCUGGCGGCGUGCUUAACACAUGCCAGUCGAACGGAAAGGCCCUGCUUUUGUGGGGUGCUCGAGUGGCGAACGGGUGAGUAACACGUGAGUAACCUGCCCUUGACUUUGGGAUAACUUCAGGAAACUGGGGCUAAUACCGGAUAGGAGCUCCUGCUGCAUGGUGGGGGUUGGAAAGUUUCGGCGGUUGGGGAUGGACUCGCGGCUUAUCAGCUUGUUGGUGGGGUAGUGGCUUACCAAGGCUUUGGCGGGUAGCCGGCCUGAGUGGGUGACCGGCCAGCUGGGCUGGGAAUGAGACCCGGACCACCCACGGAGGGAAGGGAGGGGAAGAGUAGAACAGAGGCCGAAGGCCGGAGUAACCAAGCCGGGGUGCGGGAGAGCGGCCGUCGGUUGGAAAGCGGCUUUCUCUUGCACGGAAGGUUAAUGACGGUAACGGGAGAAGAAGCACCGGCUAACUACGUG